GCGCCGGUGGUGUAAGGCGAACAUCGCUGCCCGGAAAGCAGAAGAUGCGGGUUCGAGUCCCACCUGGCGCA
rfam:Heligmosomoides polygyrus genome assembly, scaffold: HPBE_scaffold0001417